AUACAUAAAAUAUCGCGACUUUUGCGAAAAUACCGUUUUGCCACUACCGACCUCUCCUCGAUCAACGCGCGAUCUCCGCAGAUCCGUCCGUCAGAUUCGCGAACGGAUCACACCAGUGCGAUCAGCACGACAGAGACAACAAAGCUGCGAUUUCGUUUCAUCUCGAUCGACCACAGAUUCACGACAAAAUCCAACCUUUCAUUCCAAUCGAAAGAAACACACAAAAAUACAUAUAAAACAUGUAUUUUUGGAUUUUCUCA
rnacentral:lncRNA from 1 species